GAUGAACGUUAGCGGCAGGCUUAAUACAUGCAAGUCGUGGGGCAGCAUGAGUAGCAAUACUUGAUGGCGACCGGCAAACGGGUGCGGAACACGUACACAACCUUCCGAUAAGUGGGGAAUAGCCCAGAGAAAUUUGGAUUAAUACCCCGUAACAUAUAGAGUAGGCAUCUUCUUUAUAUUAUAGCUUCGGCGCUUAUUGAUGGGUGUGCGUCUGAUUAGGUAGUUGGCGGGGUAACGGCCCACCAAGCCUACGAUCAGUAGCUGAUGUGCGAGCAUGAUCAGCCACACGGGCACUGAGACACGGGCCCGACUCCUACGGGAGGCAGCAGUAAGGAAUAUUGGACAAUGGGCGAAAGCCUGAUCCAGCCAUGCCGCGUGAAGGAUUAAGGUCCUCUGGAUUGUAAACUUCUUUUAUUUGGGACGAAAAAAGGGAAUUCUUUCCCACUUGACGGUACCAAGUGAAUAAGCACCGGCUAACUCCGUGCCAGCAGCAGCCGCGG
rnacentral:rRNA from 1 species